rnacentral:rRNA from 1 species
UAACGCGUGAAGUUGACCGCCUGGGGAGUACGGUCGCAAGAUUAAAACUCAAAGGAAUUGACGGGGACCCGCACAAGCGGUGGAUGAUGUGGAUUAAUUCGAUGCAACGCGAAAAACCUUACCUACCCUUGACAUGUCCAGAAUCCUGCUGAGAGGUGGGAGUGCCCGAAAGGGAAUUGGAACACAGGUGCUGCAUGGCUGUCGUCAGCUCGUGUCGUGAGAUGUUGGGUUAAGUCCCGCAACGAGCGCAACCCUUAUCAUUAGUUGCUACGCAAGGGCACUCUAAUGAGACUGCCGGUGACAAACCGGAGGAAGGUGGGGAUGACGUCAAGUCCUCAUGGCCCUUAUGGGUAGGGCUUCACACGUCAUACAAUGGUCGGUACAGAGGGUUGCCAAGCCGCGAGGCGGAGCCAAUCCCAGAAAGCCGAUCGUAGUCCGGAUUGUUCUCUGCAACUCGAGAGCAUGAAGUCGGAAUCGCUAGUAAUCGCGGAUCAGCAUGUCGCGGUGAAUACGUUCCCGGGUCUUGUACACACCGCCCGUCACACCAUGGGAGUGGAAUCUGGCAGAAGUAGGUAGCCUAACCGCAAGGAGGGCGCUUACCACGCUGGGUUUCAUGACUGGGGUGAAGUCGUAACAAGGUAACCAAGGG